AGUUGAUCCUGGCUCAGGAUGAACGCUAGCGGCAGGCUUAACACAUGCAAGUCGAGGGGCAGCGUGGUGUAGCAAUACACCGACGGCGACCGGCGGAAGGUGAGUAACGCGUGAGCAACAUGCCACCUUCAGGGGGAUAGUCAUUGGAAACGAUGCGUAAUACCCCGUAUGAUUAAUUGAGGCAUCUUGAUUAAUUGAAAGGUUUAUUGGGAGGUGAUUGGCUCGCGUGCCAUUAGGUAGACGGCGGGGUAACGGCCCACCGUGCCGACGAUGGCUAGGGGUUCUGAGAGGAAGGUCCCCCCACAUUGGAACUGAGACACGGUCCAGACUCCUACGGGAGGCAGCAGUGAGGAAUAUUGGACAAUGGCCGGAAGGCUGAUCCAGCCAUGCCGCGUGCGGGAUGACGGCCCUAUGGGUUGUAAACCGCUUUUGAGAGGGAGCAAUAGACGUCACGUGUGACGAGAUGAGAGUACCUUUCGAAUAAGCAUCGGCUAACUCCGUGCCAGCAGCCGC
rnacentral:rRNA from 1 species